rnacentral:rRNA from 1 species
CAGCCCCUCGAGUGGUGGGGGAUGAUUAUUUGGCCUAAAGCGUCCGUAGCCGGCUCGGUAAAUCUCUCGUUAAAUCCAGCGUCCUAAGCGUUGGGCUGCGAGGGAGACUGCCGAGCUAGAGGGUGGAAAGGUCAGCGGUAUUUCUGGGGUAGGGCGAAAUCCAUUGAUCCCAGGAGGACCACCAGUGGCGAAGGCUGCUGACUAGAACACGCCUGACGGUGAGGGACGAAAGCUGGGGUAGCGAAUCGGAUUAGAUACCCGAGUAGUCCCAGCCGUAAACGAUGCAGGCUAGGUGUUGGGCCGGCCACGCGCCGGCUCAGUGCCACAGGGAAGCCAUUAAGCCUGCCGCCUGGGGAGUACGGUCGCAAAGGCUG